UACGUAGGUGGCAAGCGUUGUCCGGAUUUACUGGGCGUAAAGAGCGCGCAGGCGGUCGUUCAAGUCGCGUGUGAAAGCCCCCGGCUCAACUGGGGAGGGUCACGCGAUACUGAUCGACUCGAAGGCAGGAGAGGGUAGUGGAAUCCCCGGUGUAGUGGUGAAAUGCGUAGAUAUCGGGAGGAACACCAGUGGCGAAGGCGACUACCUGGCCUGUUUCUUGACGCUGAGGCGCGAAAGCUAGGGGAGCAAACGGG
rnacentral:rRNA from 1 species